rnacentral:rRNA from 1 species
UACGUAGGGUGCAGGCGUUAAUCGGAAUUACUGGGCGUAAAGCGUGCGCAGGCGGUUUGUUAAGCCAGGGGUGAAAUCCCCGGGCUUAACCUGGGAACUGCGCUUGUAACUGGCAAGCUAGAGUGUGGCAGAGGGGGGUGGAAUUCCAGGUGUAGCAGUGAAAUGCGUAGAGAUCUGGAGGAACACCGAUGGCGAAGGCAGCCCCCUGGGCUAACACUGACGCUCAUGCACGAAAGCGUGGGGAGCAAACAGG